rnacentral:rRNA from 1 species
CGGCCAGACUCCUACGGGAGGCAGCAGUGGGGAAUAUUGCACAAUGGGGGAAACCCUGAUGCAGCGACGCCGCGUGAGCGAGGAAGUCUUUCGGUAUGUAAAGCUCUGUCAGCAGGGAAGAAGAAUGACGGUACCUGAAGAAGAAGCACCAGCUAAAUACGUGCCAGCAGCCGCGGUAAUACGUAUGGUGCAAGCGUUAUCCGGAUUUACUGGGUGUAAAGGGAGCGUAGACGGUUAUGUAAGUCUGGAGUGAAAGCCCGGGGCCCAACCCCGGGACUGCUUUGGAAACUGUGUAACUGGAGUACAGGAGGGGCAGGCGGAAUUCCUGGUGUAGCGGUGAAGUGCGUAGAUAUCAGGAGGAACACCGGCGGCGAAGGCGGCCUGCUGGACUGAAACUGACGUUGAGGCUCGAAAGCGUGGGGAGCAAACAGGAUUAGAUACCCCAGUA